AAACAUGUYUUAAUGAAUAUAAUUUUAAGUYUGAUCUGCUCCAUGAUAAGAAAUAUUAAAUAGCUGCAGAAUUUUAACUGUACAAAGGUAGCAUAAUAAAUAGUUUUUUAAUUAAAAGCUGGAAUGAAAGAUUUGAUAAGGUAAAUAUUGUCUCAAAUUUAAUAUAUUAAAAUUUUUUUUUUAGUAAAAAUACUAGGAUGAAUUAAAAAGACGAGAAGACCCUAUAGAUUUUUAUAUUUUUUAUUAACAAAUUUGUAAUUAAAUAAAUAUUUAAUUAGAAAUAUUAGGUUGGGGAAAUUAUUAAAUUUAAAAAAUUUUAAUUUUAUAUAAACAAUAAUGGUUGGAUGAGGGAACUUUAUAUAAAAAUUAAUAGAAUAAAAUACCUUAGGGAUAACAGCGUAAUUUUUUUAGAGAGAUCAUAUUAAUAAAAAAGUUUGCGACCUCGAUGUUGAAUUAAGAUAAAAUUUUAAUGAAGAAGUUAAAAAUUUUUGGUCUGUUCGACCAUUAAAAUCUUACGUGA
rnacentral:rRNA from 1 species